AAGUUUACCUCCGAGUAUUCUUCGAAGUAUUCAAAACCAUAACAAUAGUUUCUUACAACAUUUUAUUGAUUUAUAACAAAUAUAGAAUAUCAUUCGACACUCACACACACUCUACCAAUCAUACCCCCACAUUGGCCCCUUCUACACAAUCCUUCCCCACAGCGCACUCCAAAUGCACGGUGAAAGGCCAAUUUUAUUUGAAUAACAGAAAGUUUUCUUCUUCGGCAAAUAAGUUCACUUAACUGUCAAUUACAGUCCACUCCAUUCGGUUGUUCUCCUCUCUUCGCCUCUAUGCGAUUUGCCUUGCAAUAAAAUAUCUGACGUGAAUUUCACUCCCUCAACCAAAACUGAACUCAAAUCGAAUUUGAACUUUGCAGACAUACAGACACUGUACGAUUCCGUCAAAUGCCGCAGCGACUUGACUCCCACAGUCUUCCGCCGAAGUGGUGUCAUUCAAGUUUAUGAAACAAAAUAAGGAGUAAACAAAAAAGUGUAGAAGGGCACGACGGGCAACCUAAAGAAAGGCGAUGCUUCAUAUUGUCGAACGAGACAUAAAAAACAAAAGAGAGGAAAAUGGGAGAGGAGGCGAUGCCACUGUGCCAAAGCGAUUGCAGUUACCGUAAGAGAAUGUUAAAGAAAUUACACACAGCAGGGCCGAUAACGUGUCGUGAAUACUUUGAGGUGAAAAUACGUCUAGAAUUCUCAAAGGGGAAUAGGUGAAUUUCAACAGAGACGCUGAGUAUUUGCAAAAUUAGCCUGAUAUGGGUGAUAAAUCUUUAAAGCCCUUUCGCGAAAGCUAAUAGACGAGUCACAGCUGGAAAUGGCGAGGGCGGGUGAAAAAUUAAUGAAAUUGUGGGAGAUGCUUCAAAUUUUCGCAGAAAAAGAAUUCGAGAAAAGAAACCUAGGGCCAAAAUAACGCAAAAUCAAUUUAAGAUCAAUAAAUGUAUACAUAUUACACACACAACAUGCGCACAGACACACAUACAAACGGUAUUUACCACUCAGCUGUCGCUAACAGCUUCCGACCUCGCGCGGUGCUGUCGUAUCUCCGCUGAGUUUCACUUUAUGCUCGCAGUGACAUUUACGACGCAGAUAAGAACAGCGAAAACAACAGGGAAUUCGGAAUGAGCCAGCUUUUUGCUUACAUUUUGCCAGUCACGACAGGAUAUUAGAUAGUGACAAAAAGGCUGCCGGCCGCCAUCUUGAAGUUGCGCCAACAGCGAUGUCACCAAAGGCAGCGGAAUUAUCAAAGUUGUAGUUUGCUGCACACCAAAUUCGCCGAAGCCUUGGUCGGUAUGAUGCCGGGCAGUGGUGCCCCGAGGUAGAGCAUCCUUAGUAAUGCUAAAAUAUUGCUGCAGCUCACCUCUUCCUGAGUUUGGCAAAGGGGGUGUUCAGUGGGUUCAUGGGUGUUUUUCGCAUCAAUUUAUUAAUAAAACCCGUGUUUUUGCCUACCUUUUUCCGGACGAAUUUUUGAGCUUGCCAUGUAGUGAUUUUCUGUCGGUUGUCACUUUUUCGGAAAAAGUCAAAGUGAAAGCAAAAUAGAAAGAGUGAAGCAAUUCAACUUCGUUGCAGGGGAGCUUUCGGGAAGUUAUUAAGUGCUUUGCAAACGCGGCGGUUUCGCGGCUACUCACACAAGUGCCUAACUGCAUGCAUAUAGGCUUAUAUGUGUGCACUUAUGAUUUCGGCUGUUCACGUCGGCUGUUGAUGGCUGAAAGUUGAUUGUUUCUGCGCCCAUCAUCGAUAUGUUGACGUACUGCAUUUUUGCCUUUCUGCUGCUCUGCGCCCUGUACAUCGCCGUCUUUGUUGCCUACGACAUUCUGUUUUGGAUGUACCGUUGGUUGAGCCGCCGAAUACGCUCCACACAAGAGCCGCAGCCGCCGCCCAAUACACCACGUGCUCUCAAUCUGACCGAGUAGUGACCGACGGCGUUGCAAAUCCUAAAACUUGACGAAGAACUUUUACAAAGGGAAGUGCGAGUAAUUGAAUGAAUUUCUGUCUAGAAAAGUCUAAAACCUAGGGAAACGGAUAACUGUUUCUACGUUAAAACGUGCAGUACUCGCUGCUUUCAGCACUGUUCGCAAGCACCGACACAAAUUCAUCAAACUCUGCAUCAUUUAACAAUUUCGGGAAAAAUUUACCACUUUGAAGACUCUUCACUGUUUUACCAACAAAUAUUUCUGGCAGAAUUUAUUAUGCGUACUAACCGACUUAUUCCGGACUCAAAAGUGACUUUAAUCCUAACAUUUGCCUAAACAGAGCGAUACGAAUGAGAUAAAGUAUCAAAGAAAUUAAUUAAAUUAAAAACUUAUAACCAAUUCACUGUAACGCAAUCUCAAUUCCAAAGAUAUGGACUCUUUCAAAAUUAACAUUCAG